rnacentral:lncRNA from 1 species
AGCGACUUUCUGGUGCGGGCAGUUGAACUUUGCAAGUAAAAACAGUAGGGCAGUAUUCAUCUGAUAUACUACCUUGACAUGAGAGGGCAAGGAGUCAUAAUGGUGAUGAUCGAGGAGGAGGGGCACCCUUUUAGUUUAGAAAAUACUAUGAGUUGUAGUAGUACCAAAUUAUACCGAUGGCCGGCACAGGCCCUUGUAGAUGGUGUUGUUCGGGAACAAGGCCUUGAAUCCUAUGGUAGCGAAGUCCAGUGGCCACUUUGAACCUGCAGGAUGACACCAGAUGGGGUGGAUUGAUCAGGAGUUGGAGGCGAUUCAUAUCCAUGGGAAGAGCAGAGUUUACUCACACUUGGGGACGAAGGUGAGGAUGACCUUGGAGGGAGCUCGGGGAUGGAGGCAAGAUGGGAGUCGAAUGAAGGGGUAAGAGGAGAUGUAACUGCUUGCUCUGUUUUUUCGCUAACUGAAC